AGAGAAAAGAAAGAGGAAGGAAAUGGAGGUUAUUUGUAGAAAAGAGAAAUUCAAAAGGUCAAAUUCUUCCAGAAGAAUUUAAAAUCUCCAAAUUGGAGAGGAAUUUUCAUGCACAGACCACAACUGGCUCCAAGAAGUCAAGGAAGCAGGAAGCAGCUGACACAGCACUAGAAACACACGGAUCUCUACCUGACGUGAAGAGCUGACUCAUUGGAAAAGACCCUGAUGCUGGGAAAGAUUGAAGGCAGGAGAAGGGGACGACAGAGGAUGAGAUGAUUGAAUGGCAUUAGGGACGCGAUGGACAUGAGUUUGAGUAAACUCCGGGAGUUGGUGAUGGACAGGGAGGCCUGGUGUGCUGUGGUCCAUGGGGUCACAGUUGGACAUGACUGAGCGAUUGAACUGAACUGAACUGAACUCUAGUUAUCCCUCAAUAACCAAACAUAUUUUCCACAUCCCUCUGGUCAGGGUGCUCUCCUGUACCCUGCGACAUUUUUUCCAAACUUCACUCCCCCAGACCAUUGAUUGUGCCACUUCCCAACUCACUUCCAGCAGAUAAUAUUUGGACUACUCAGCAGAAUAAAUAGAGGCUAAUAGUACUUUCUUUUAUUUGUACUAUUUUUUCCUCCUUCUCCUGACUUAGGUUGCAGUAUUUGUCUAAUCAUUUUCCAUGUGCUCUGGUG
ensembl:lncRNA